rnacentral:rRNA from 1 species
CAAGUCUGGUGCCAGCAGCCGCGGUAAUUCCAGCUCCAAUAGCGUAUAUUAAAGUUGUUGCAGUUAAAAAGCUCGUAGUUGAAUUUCGGGAUCAAUGUUUCGGUCAUGCCGUUGGUAUGUACUGAUAUUAUUGGUUUCUCACCUUCUAAAGAACCGUAAUGCCAUUAAUUUGGUGUCACGGGGAAUUAGGACUGUUACCUUGAAAAAAUUAGAGUGUUUAAAGCAGGCUCACGCUUGAAUACAUUAGCAUGGAAUAAUGAAAUAGGACAUCCGAUUCUAUUUUGUUGGUUUCUAGGAUCGAUGUAAUGAUUAAUAGGGAUAGUUGGGGGCAUUAGUAUUCAAUUGUCAGAGGUGAAAUUCUUGGAUUUAUUGAAGACUAACUACUGCGAAAGCAUUUGCCAAGGAUGUUUUCAUUAAUCAAGAACGAAAGUUAGGGGAUCGAAGACGAUCAGAUACCGUCGUAGUCUUAACCAUAAACUAUGCCGACUAGGGAUCGGAUGAUGUUAAUUUUUUAAUGACUCAUUCGGCGCC